rnacentral:lncRNA from 1 species
GUUAAAGAAACAUAUCAAGGGAAUAAUUUGGGACAAAAUCCAGAGCAAUAGAAUUCUCUGCUACAAUCUAGGCAGCAGUGCCUGGAUGUUUAAGUGUGUGUGUGUUAUAUUAUUUGUAUGUGCGUGUGUAUAUAGGGGGCGGGUGUCUUGUGUAUGUUGUAUGUAUGUGUGUCUGUGUGUAGGCCAGAGACUGACUUCCCUAAUCUGCACUCCAGAAUAGGGCUUCUGCUGCUAUUAUAGAUGGUAAUUGAACUCAGGACCUCUGGAAGAGUAGAUGGUGCUCUUAACUGCUGAACCACCUCCCCAGCCCCUUCACUUUGAUUUUUCAGGCAGGGUCUCUCCCUGAGCAUAGAGCUCCAAUUUGGCUAGGCUGGCUGGCCAGCACCCCCUGGGGGUCCUCCUGUCUCUGCCUCCCCAGCAUCGGAUUACAGGUACACACUAGCUAUCACAGGCACACACUAGCUAUCACAGGCACACACUACAUCUUCACAGGCCCACACUAGCUAUCACAGGCACACACUAGCUAUCACAGGCACACACUAGCUAUCACAGGCACACACUACAUCUAUCACAGGCACACACUAGCUAUCACAGGCACACACUAGCUAUCACAGGCCCACACUAGCUAUCACAGGCACACACUAGCUAUCACAGGCACACACUAACUGUCACAGGCCCACACUAGCUGUCACAGGCACACACUAGCUAUCACAGGCCCACACUAGCUAUCACAGGCACACACUAGCUAUCACAGGCACACACUAGCUAUCACAGGCACACACUACAUCUAUCACAGGCACACACUAGCUAUCACAGGCACACUCUAGCUAUCACAGGCCCACACUAGCUGUCACAGGCACACACUAGCUAUCACAGGCCCACACUAGCUAUCACAGGCACACACUAGCUAUCACAGGCACACACUAGCUAUCACAGGCAUACACUAACUGUCACAGGCCCACACUAGCUGUCACAGGCCCACACUAGCUAUCACAGGCCCACACUAACUGUCACAGGCCCACACUAGCUGUCACAGGCACACACUAGCUAUCACAGGCCCACACUAGCUAUCACAUGCACACACUAGCUAUCACAGGCACACACUACAUCUAUCACAGGCCCACACUAGCUAUCACAGGCCCACACUAGCUAUCACAGGCACACACUAGCUAUCACAGGUCCACAUUAGCUAUCACAGGCACACACUAGCUAUCAAUCACAGGCACAGGCCUUUUACAGAUGCUGAAGAUCUGAACUCAGACCCCCAGGCUUGUGCUGCAGGUACUUUUGCUAGGCUUAAGCUUGCUAAGUAGCUCAGGCUGGUUUUGAACUCCGGACUUCAACCUCUUUCAUGCUGGAAUUAUAGGAAUGUAGCAGUCCUUACGGCUUCACUUGGCCCUGUGACGCAGCUGAUUCAACACCACUUAAGUGGAGUCACUGGAUACAGCUUAGGCAAGCUCUACUGAGAACGACGCAGCCCACGCCUCCAGGGCUAGAGGACAAGUGUGUGGCGUGUUUGCAGAUGGCCAUCAAUUCGUGGCUGUGGGUCUUCAUCAGGCAGCCGGUGGGUCCUGCAUGCAUGGCCUCUCACUCACUGACAGCAGCAGUCUGUCACCCUGUGGAGAUGGCACAUGAGAGAUCUGCACUGGCAGGUGCAGAAGGCCCAGGUAAGCCGUGUGAGCAGGUGGCCUAGAUGCCUUCCAUGGCGGCUCUUGCUUCACUGACUCUUCCUGGGACCUCCGAGGUUGCUCCUUGGGAUCAAUUGGCUGAGAAGGAAUGAAUUCAAGCCUGGCUUACAGAUGGCACUGCAGGAUAUGCUGGCACCAACAGAAAGUGGGCAGCUGAAGCCCUCAGCCCACUCCAGGAGGACCUGCAUAACUUGGGUAACAGAAUGUCUUGCAGUGGGCAGAGCAUCAAGAGGCGCGCGUGUAUUUGUGUACUUGGCCUCAACUGAGAGACGGACGGAGGCAGGGAUCUACAAUGACUCGGCUGGCCAGUGAGGGAGGAAAACCACUGCUGUCAGGUGACCACCAGGCCUCAGGACAGAGGAUGUGUGUGACCGGAGCGCUCCAGAUAGGCACAGAAUGGGAAGAAGGAAAUUGUGUCACAGGUGUUUAUGAGUCAGCACUGAAAAAAUAAAAUAAAAUAAAAUAAAUGCCCGAGACAAUUAGGUUCAAAAGAAGAAAGGUAGGGGGAUCGAUGGCUCAGAGGUUAAGAGCACUGACUGCUUCUUGAGAGGUUCUGAGUUCAACUCCCAGCAACCAUGUGGUGGGUCGAACCCAUCUAUACUGGGGUCUGAUGCCCAAUUCUGGCAUGCAGGAAUACAUGCAAACAGAGCACUAUAUAGA